GGGAAAGAAGUACUUAUGUCUGUAAUAAAGCCCUUUUGUGGGGUAAAACUCAUCAUUCUGAUUGGCUGGGCCUGGCUCCCCAGUGGGUGGGCUAUAUAUAUUGAACAUCUAUAUAUAUAUAUAUAUAUAUAUUACGCUGCUGCUACUCUCUGUUUAUCAUAUAUGCAUCGUCACUUUAAUUAACCAUAUCUACAUGUACAUACUACCUCAAUCAGCCUGACUAACAGGUGUCUGUCUGUAUGUAGCCUUGCUACUAACAGGUGUCUGUAUGUAGCCUUGCUACUAACAGGUGUCUGUAUAGAGCCUUGCUACUAACCGGUGUCUGUAUAGAGCCUUGCUACUAACCGGUGUCUGUAUAGAGCCUUGCUACUAACCGGUGUCUGUAUGUAGCCUUGCUACUAACAGGUGUCUGUAUAGAGCCUUGCUACUAACCGGUGUCUGUAUGUAGCCUUGCUACUAACAGGUGUCUGUAUAGAGCCUUGCUACUAACCGGUGUCUGUAUAGAGCCUUGCUACUAACCGGUGUCUGUAUGUAGCCUUGCUACUAACAGGUGUCUGUAUAGAGCCUUGCUACUAACCGGUGUCUGUAUAGAGCCUUGCUACUAACCGGUGUCUGUAUGUAGCCUUGCUACUAACAGGUGUCUGUAUAGAGCCUUGCUACUAACCGGUGUCUGUAUAGAGCCUUGCUACUAACCGGUAUCUGUAUGUAGCCUUGCUACUAACAGGUGUCUGUAUAGAGCCUUGCUACUAACAGGUGUCUGUAUGUAGCCUUGCUACUAACAGGUGUCUUAGAGCCUGUAAAGUAAGCAUUUCACUGUAAAACCUGUUGUAUUCGGCGCACGGCGCAACUUUGAUUUGAUAUCUAUAUAUAUUAAACAUCUAUAUAACUUAUCUAUAUUUAUUGAACAUCUCUGUAACUGUUAUCUAUAUAAACUAAGCAAAAAAAGAAAGGUCCCUUUUUCAGGACCCUGUCUUUCAAAGAUAAUUAGUACAAAUCCAAAAUGACUUCACAGAUCUUCAUUGUAAAGGGUUUAAACACUGUUUCCCAUGCUUCGGUCGUUAAGACACUAACAGCUUACAGACGGUAGGCAAUUAAUGUCACAGUUAUGAAAACUUGGGACACUAAAGAGGCCUUUCUACCGACUCUGAAAAACACCAAAAGAAAGAUGCCCAGGGUCCCUGCUCAUCUGCAUGAACGUGCCUUAGACAUGAUGCAAGGAAGCAUGAGGACUGCAGAUGUGGCCAGGAAAAUAAAUUACAAUGUCCGUACUGUGAGACGCCUAAGACAGCGCUACAGGGAGACAGGGCGGACAGCUGAUCGUCCUCGCAGUGGCAGACCACGUGUAACAACACCUGCACAGGAUCGGUACAUCCGCGGGACAGGUACAGGAUGGCAACAACAACUGUCCGAGUUACACCAGGAACGCACAAUCCCUCCAUCAGUGCUCAGACUGUCCGCAAUAGUCCAAUAGUCUGGGAGAGGCUGGACUGAGGGCUUGUAGGCCUGUUGUAAGGCAGAUCCUCACCAGACAUCACCGGCAACAACGUUGGGCACAAACCCACCGUCACUGGACCAGACAGGACUGGCAAAAAGUGCUCUUCACUGACAAGUCGCGGUUUUGUCUUACCAGGGGUGAUGGUCAGAUUUCCAUUUAUUGUUGAAGGAGUGAGCGUUACACCGAGACCUGUACUCUGGAGCAGGAUUGAUUUGGAGGUGGAGGGUGCGUCAUGGUCUGGGGCGGUGUGUCACAGCAUCAUCGGACUGCCUGCAAUGACAACAAGCUCAAUCUCAACGCUGUGCGUUACAGGGAAGACAUCCUCCUCCCUCAUGUGGUACCCUUCCUGCAGGCUCAUCCUGACAUGACCCUCCAGCAUGACAAUGCCACCAGCCAUACUGCUCGUUCUGUGCGUGAUCUCCUGCAAGACAGGAAUGUCAGUGUUCUGCCAUGGCCAGCGAAGAGCCCGGAUCUCAAUCCCAUUGAGCACGUUUGGGACCUGUUGGAUCGGAGGGUGAGGACUAGGGCCAUUCCCCCCAGAAAUGUCUGGGAACUUGCAGGUGCCUAGUUGGAAGAGUGGGGUAACAUCUCACAGCAAGAACUGGCUAAUCUGGUGCAGUCCAUGAGGAGGAGAUGCACUGCAGUACUUAAUGCAGCUGGUUCUUUUGAUUUUGACCCCCCCCCCUUUGUUCAGGGACACAUUAUUCCAUUUCUGUUAGUCACAUGUCUGUGGAACUUGUUCAGUUUACGUCUCAGUUGAUGAAUCUUGUUAUGUUCAUACAAAUAUUUACACAUGUUAAGUUUGCUCGAAAUAAACGCAGUUGACAGUGAGAGGUCAUUUCCAUUUUUGCUGAGGUUAUAUUGAACAACUGUAUAACUGUUAUCUAUAUUACUGUUGCCUCUAUAUUCUGUACAUCUAUAUAACUGUUAUCUAUAUUACUGUUGCCUCUAUAUUCUGUACAUCUAUAUAACUGUUAUCUAUACAACUGUUAUCUAUAAAACUGUUAUCUAUAUAACUGUUGUCUCUAUAUUCUGUACAUCUAUAUAACUGUUAUCUAUACAACUGUUAUCUAUACAACUGUUAUCUAUACAACUGUUAUCUAUAUUACUGUUAUCUAUAUAACUGUUAUCUAUAUUACUGUUGUCUCUAUAUUCUGUACAUCUAUAUAACUGUUAUCUAUACAACUGUUAUCUAUACAACUGUUAUCUAUACAACUGUUAUCUAUAUUACUGUUAUCUAUAUAACUGUUAUCUAUAUAACUGUUGUCUCUAUAUUCUGUACAUCUAUAUAACUGUUAUCUAUAUAACUGUUAUCUAUAUAACUGUUAUCUAUAUAAAUGUUAUCUAUACAACUGUUAUCUAUAUUACUGUUGCCUCUAUAUUCUGUACAUCUAUAUAACUGUUAUCUAUAUUAAUGUUAUCUAUACAACUGUUAUCUAUAUUACUGUUGCCUCUAUAUUCUGUACAUCUAUAUAACUGUUAUCUAUAUUAAUGUUAU